rnacentral:rRNA from 1 species
GAUGAACGCUGGCGGCGUGCCUAAUACAUGCAAGUCGAGCGAACAGACGAGGAGCUUGCUCCUCUGACGUUAGCGGCGGACGGGUGAGUAACACGUGGAUAACCUACCUAUAAGACUGGGAUAACUUCGGGAAACCGGAGCUAAUACCGGAUAAUAUAUUGAACCGCAUGGUUCAAUAGUGAAAGACGGUUUUGCUGUCACUUAUAGAUGGAUCCGCGCCGCAUUAGCUAGUUGGUAAGGUAACGGCUUACCAAGGCAACGAUGCGUAGCCGACCUGAGAGGGUGAUCGGCCACACUGGAACUGAGACACGGUCAAGACUCCUACGGGAGGCAGCAGUAGGGAAUCUUCCGCAAUGGGCGAAAGCCUGACGGAGCAACGCCGCGUGAGUGAUGAAGGUCUUCGGAUCGUAAAACUCUGUUAUUAGGGAAGAACAAAUGUGUAAGUAACUAUGCACGUAUUGACGGUACCUAAUCAGAAAGCCACGGCUAACUACGUG